UACGUAGGUGGCAAGCGUUGUCCGGAUUUACUGGGCGUAAAGAGCGCGCAGGCGGUCGUUCAAGUCGCGUGUGAAAGCCCCCGGCUCAACUGGGGAGGGUCACGCGAUACUGAUCGACUCGAAGGCAGGAGAGGGAAGUGGAAUUCCCGGUGUAGUGGUGAAAUGCGCAGAUAUCAGGAGGAACACCCGUGGCGAAAGCGGCUCUCUGGGCCGAUACUGACGCUGAGGAGCGAAAGCGUGGGGAGCGAACAGG
rnacentral:rRNA from 1 species